rnacentral:lncRNA from 1 species
GCUGUAAAGUUGCGAACGAGAAGAUGUCAUCGAACGAACUUUAUAACUCGUAGGCAAAAACCCAUAGUAUAUGUAUAUAGGUAAUAGCCAGGCUUAAUUGGCCUUAUUUUUUCAUUAUAUAUUUUAUCUACAAAAGCAUAAAUGGUAAAGAACGCUUGAUAUCUUCUUCAACCUGUCGUGCUACAGCCUUCUCCUUAACGAUCUGAGAGCUUCCAGAUUAUCCGCUAACAGAAACUCCAGCUCUGCAAUUAUCCUCAGUGUAAGAAACGCGGAACAAAUUCCAGCAUUCACGUGAAUUCAGCAUUCACGUACCGCCUGAAUAACCUACCCGGCAAACGGAGCGUCUGACGCGAGAACUGUCCGCUUCUCAUCCACGCUGGU